CGGGGUAUGGCUCAGUUUGGUAGAGCGCUUGGUUCGGGACCAAGAGGUCGCAUGUUCAAAUCAUGUUACCCCGA
rnacentral:tRNA from 1 species